rnacentral:lncRNA from 1 species
ACUAGCCAUGUGAACUUGGGCAAGUGACCUAAUCCUCUGCAUUUCAUCUCUAAAUUGGGGAGAAUAGAAGCAUCUACUUCAUGUAGUAGCCAGGAUUAGAAGAGAUGGGGCCACUUGAGGGAAAAUACCUACCCAAGGGCACAUAAUCUGUACAUGAGAGAGAGCCAGAUGUAACAGACUGAGUACUGGACUUGGGGUUAAACAGACUGUGAAUCCUUCCACCCCAUUGGGAGGAAUAACUGGGCCCUGGAUAGAAUGUGAUGAAUGAAUAUUCUUAAUGAGAAGUGGAAAUAAUUUGUGGUUGAGAGCUGUGCCUCAGAUCAGAGUGACAGGAUACAUGGCUAGGCUAUAUUUUCCAGCAGAUUAAGAGCUGCAGCCCAAGACUCUGAAAUAUGAAGAAAAAAGGAGAAGAUGACAGCAUAUCUUUUUAAAGAAAUAUUUUCCAGCCAAAUGGUGCAGCAGAGGACUUCCAGGAAUUUGUUCUUGUUCUGUAUCAAAGGUGAAGAGUUCGUAGCCUUCAAGGAAACAAGAAACCAUGGGAUGGAGUGAAGGAAGGUGGCCUGGAACCAGCUGCUGAGCCUCUCUGAGCCCCAGUUUCCUCAUCUCUAAAAUGGGGCUGAUCUCCUCUCCCUCAGACUGUUGUUGCAGGAAUUAAAACAGGUGUUGAGUGGGAAA